rnacentral:rRNA from 1 species
UACGUAGGGACCGAGCGUUGUCCGGAUUCAUUGGGCGUAAAGAGCUCGUAGGCGGCUGUUCAAGUCGAACGUGAAAACUCGGAGCUCAACUGUGGGCGUGCGGGCGAUACGGGCAGACUGGAGUACUGCAGGGGAGACUGGAAUUCCUGGUGUAGCGGUGGAAUGCGUAGAUAUCAGGAGGAAUACCGAUGGCGAAGGCAGGUCUCUGGGCUGACACUGACGCUCAUGCACGAAAGCGUGGGGAGCAAACAGG